rnacentral:rRNA from 1 species
UACGUAGGGGGCUAGCGUUGUCCGGAAUCAUUGGGCGUAAAGCGCGUGUAGGCGGUUCGGUAAGUCCGCUGUGAAAGUCGGGGGCUCAACCCUCGGAUGCCGGUGGAUACUGUCGGACUAGAGUACGGAAGAGGCGAGUGGAAUUCCCGGUGUAGCAGUGAAAUGCGUAGAUAUCGGGAGGAAUACCGGUGGCGAAGGCGGGUCUCUGGGCCGAUACUGACGCUGAGGAGCGAAAGCGUGGGGAGCGAACAGG